GGGUUGUAAAAGCCAGGUGUGUUCAUUUGCAACUGUAACAGAAGUUGGGAUGAGCAGAAGCAGAGGUUUUAGAGGCUGGCUUGACACUAUAGACUAACAAAAGCCAUGUAUGGGAUUCAGUGAAAGAACCUGACUGAAAUAAGUACUUAAGUAAAUGAAUAUGUAGAAACAAUCAAGGAAAGAAAUCCUAACAUCAGCCUGGGACUCCACGUGAACAUGCAUGCUUCCUCAUAUGCACACACAUAUGCUUGUAAUAUGUACAUAGAAAAGCAUUGAUGUUCCCCAAUCAAACAUAGCUAUGCAUUCUGGAGUUCAUUAGUUCUAUUCUUCCAGUAGGUCUGCAGACUUAAGUGAUUUCUGUCAUGAAAACACCUGGAAUAGCGAAUAACAUAGGUUAUUUUUGGACUGUCGAUUAUUAUCUUUUUGAGAAAUAGUUUUUACAGUUCUCUAAAGAAGUCUUCAACUGCAUGCAAAAACAUAAGGCAUCAAAGAUCAUUGUUAUUUUCAGUCCUUCCUGUCUUCUACGUCAUACCAUACGCAACAAAAACGUAUUUGUUCUCAAGGAAAACAGAGUCAAAGGCAUUUCCUUGUUCACCCAAAUGAUCAGCAGUCACAGUUAGUGUUGAGUUGGUUAAAGAUUAUUGCACUUGGUAGUUUCCUUAGUUUUGUGUGUGUGUGUGUGUGUGUGUGUGUGUGUGUGUGUGUGUGUGUGUGUGUGUAUACAAGUGUAUGUUUAUAGUUGGUGAGUGCCAAUGUUCUUCCUCAGUCACCUUACCUCCAAACCUCCAAUUUUCUGACACAGGGUCUCUGACUGAACCCGAAACUCAGAUCGGCUAGACUGGCAAGCCAAGUCUUGCUGUCUCUGCCUUAUCACCUCUGAGACUGCAAGCCAGCUCUGUCACAUCUAGUUUCUAAGGAGAGCAUCAGAGAUGUCCACUUUUGCCUCCAUAAGAUAGAUAUUGAAGGCUGUGUGGUUUAGAAAAUAUCUAUAGAAAUUAGACACUCAAGAGCCACAGAAAUAUACAAGAAAUCAAGAGCACAGAGUAUUUCCUUCCAUCAGUCCUCAGAACCCUGAAACGAUUCUAACUCGAUCAAGCACAGAGCACAGAGGAAGGCCCACCUUGGCAGAUGGCCACAGAGGAUGUCAACAAUUUCUUGGAGGCAAGCAAUUAAAUAUUUGUGGAAUGAGAUUUCUGUCUUUUAACUAUAUAAAAUCAAAUAGGGUUUGAGUGAAUAUUGGGUUCUUGUUAACAUGUCUAUUUCUUGUCUCUUCACUUCCUUCUUUUCUUCAGCAUUGCUGUGUGUCAGAAGUUACGUUAGAGUGCUUAUCCCCUACCUAUAGGAUUGCACAGCCUAAAGAAGCACUGACUCCAUAGAUAGGAAAUGAGGUUUGAAAUAACAUAUCAACUACCCACAUGUGAAAAUGAGUCCGUUGAAUUUAUCUUGGACACAUAUAAAUGAAAAUACUAAAUAUAUUUUCAGGUUUAAUUAUUGUCUAUUCGUUUUAGAGUUAUUUGUACUUUUUAUUAAUUUAAAUAUCUUGAGCGCGUGUUCUCCUCUCAAGAGUCUUGGAAAGCCAUCACAUUAUAACCCUCCCAGCAUUGGGUUUUCUCAGUCCAUAGCAUCCAGGGGAUUCACUGAGCUUGGAGGUUCUGUUCUGGCAGAUCCUGUUCUUUUCAGACGAGUAAAGGCUGCACAGAAGACUGCCAGCUUAAAAAUUGAAGUUAAUUACAUUGUCAUUAAGGGAAAGUUUAUAUAGAUAGAAACUGAUGAUUCUUUUUUUUUAAAGGUCAUAUAAGCAGUCUUCUACCCUUUUCACAUUCAUAAAAAAUAAAAACCCAAGUAGAUGGGGAAGAAGGUGAAAUUUUAAAAAAAUGACUUCUUAGGGUAAUGAGGGCUCUGCGCUUAAGAGCACUGACUGCUCUUCCAAGGUCCUGAAUUUAAUUCCGAUC
rnacentral:sRNA from 1 species